AUUUGAAAAUCAGACUAUCCACCUGUAUAUAAAAAUUUAAUACACCAACUAUUCCUCACCGAGGAUCGAUUCCAGGUUAUGGUAUGAAACAAGAAACCAAUUAAUACAAAUUAUUACAACUUCCAUUUAUAAUCUAAUCUCAACUAUUGUACCGUCAAAUCUGAAGCUCAUACCAAAUCUGUGCCUGCCCGCGCUGGCUCUGAAAUCUGUCUUGAAUAGAAUGCCUCAUCGCUCUGAUUCGAAAGGAAAAAUACAGGUAGAUCAUCUUUAAGCCUAACUGCAAAGGGUUAGGUAGAAACAAAGCAAGAGUGAGCCAAAGAACGCCCAGCAAGUUAAUAAUAUAGUGAAACAAUGGUGUCACGAUAAUUCAUUGAUGAACAAUAUCAAUGAAUACUUUACUUCAAAAGAUCAUUCAAUUUCCAUUAUAGGAUUAAGCUUUCCAUUUUCUUCAAUCAUAACAUUUCAUCAAAAUAUUCUUUUCUUUAAAACCAUUCCAUCAUUAAAACAUACUUUUCAUAGAACCUUUUAAAAACAUUUUAAGCUGAUUGGAGUUUUUCCUUGACAACGGACAAUACGGGUGAUCAGCCACGUAAAGUCCCCAUACCGGACACGAAGUCCCUCUGGACCUUGAAAUUGGGUUCCCAAUUAGGCAACACAUUGGCCUUCAAUGCUGGACUAGGGGAACCACCCCUAGCCUCUUACGCUAAACAAAAUUUGGACUAGGACCACCCUAGCCUCUUACGUCUCCAAUCUGAAGGAAUCCGUGAAAAACAUUUAACGAAAACCCCCACAUUAAAAUCUUUAAAACCUUUAAAACAAAUCACUUUUAAGUCCUUUAUACUCACUGAUAACAGAUCAGCCCAGUAUAAGGAAUUUUUAAAAACAUCUUUAAUAAAUUAGACCAUUUUAGGGAGCAACAUUAAAGAUUAAGAAAUAGAGAAGCAUUCGAUAUAAAGAAUUAUGAACAACACAACAAUAAUAUUAAGAUUCAGGGAAGCAUUCGAUAUAAAGAAUCAUAGCAACAAAGCAAUAAGAUUGAACUAAACAU
rnacentral:lncRNA from 1 species